ACUCCUACGGGAGGCAGCAGUGAGGAAUAUUGGUCAAUGGGCGAGAGCCUGAACCAGCCAAGUCGCGUGAAGGAUGAAGGAUCUAUGGUUUGUAAACUUCUUUUAUAUGGGAAUAAAGUGAGGAACGUGUUCCUUUUUGUAUGUACCAUAUGAAUAAGCAUCGGCUAACUCCGUGCCAGCAGCCGCAGUAAUACGGAGGAUGCGAGCGUUAUCCGGAUUUAUUGGGUUUAAAGGGUGCGUAGGUGGUUAAUUAAGUCAGCGGUGAAAGUUUGUGGCUCAACCAUAAAAUUGCCGUUGAAACUGGUUGACUUGAGUAUAUUUGAGGUAGGCGGAAUGCGUGGUGUAGCGGUGAAAUGCAUAGAUAUCACGCAGAACUCCGAUUGCGAAGGCAGCUUACUAAACUAUAACUGACACUGAAGCACGAAAGCGUGGGGAUCAAACAGGAUUAGAUACCCUGGUAGUCCACGCAGUAAACGAUGAUUACUAGCUGUUUGCGAUACACAGUAAGCGGCACAGCGAAAGCGUUAAGUAAUCCACCUGGGGAGUACGCCGGCA
rnacentral:rRNA from 1 species